rnacentral:antisense_RNA from 1 species
UACUACUUGAAGCUGUUGUUUUAUCUAUUCCAAUUAAUCCACCAGGUUUAAAAUAAUGAUCUAAUCCAAGAAGACGUUUACAUGAUGAUAAAAAUUGCUUUGCAUAUGGAAAAAAAUGAAAACCUAUCAAAUCUGCCAUUAAUAUACUUCUUAAUAAUUCUUCUCUAACUGGAAGACAUCUAAAAAUUUCAAAUGAUGGAAAUGGAAUAUGAAGAAAUAAUCCAAUAUUUACUCCUUUUACUCUUCUUGUUAAAUAUUGACAUAAUAAAAGUAAAUGAUAAUCAUUAAUCCAAACCAUAUCCAUAUGUUCAGGAGAAACUAUUGGAGUAAUUACUGAUGACCAUAACAUAUUCAUUUGAUGAUAUCUUCUCCAUUCUUCAUGAUCAAAAGGAGCAUUACUUAAUUCUUCAGGAUUUAAUACAUUAUGAAAUAGUGGCCAUAAAAAUAAUUGACAAAAUUCAUUAAAAGAUUUGAAUUCAUUUUCUGGAGGAAAUACUGGAAUACAAUCAAUACUUUCAAGUAAUUCUCUAAUUUCUUCUUUUUCAUCUUCUUUUUCUAUAUGGAUACCAGGCCAACCAAUAAAUUUCACACUUUUUGAUAAUUCAUUUCUAUGGCCAUGUAAAGUUCUCAUUAAUGAAUGUUGGG